CACGAAAAAGAAUAUGAGGACAUAUCAUUUUGGGGACGAAGGAUCUCCCUGAUCUUCAUGACUUUGUGCCCUUCGCGCCUCCCGCCAUCACCUCAAGCGCCACCCCCUAUCACCACAAGCGCCAACCCCUUUCCGUGCCCUCUUGGCACCCUCGCUCCCUCUUCAAGCUCUUGGCGCCGCCCUCGAUCCUCCCUACAAGACCCGCAACCCUAUCAGCGCCGUCCCCCAUCGCCGCCCCAUACCUUCCCCUUUCAGUCCCCUCUUCGAGCUCUUGGUACCCCCACUCCCUCUUCAAGCUCUCGGCGCCGCCCUGCAACCCUCCCUGCAAGCCCCGCAACCCUAUCAACGCCCCCCUCCGCCACGCCAUGCCUUCCCCUUUCCGUCCCCACUUCUAGCUCUCGGCGCCACCCCCCGAGACAUGCCCAAAAUUUCCUCGGCGCAUCCCUUCGCCUCCUUCGUCAAACAGUAAAUCGAUUCUGGAUGUGAGGCGAUUGACUCUGACAAAUCGAUCUUCUCUUCGUAUCUUCACCUCGGCCCCCGACGCUGAGGUGACCCUUCGCCCUGCCCUAAUAUCUUCUUCGCACUGCCCUAAUCUUAUUCACACGAACUGCCCUACCAUGCCAAUCCGGCUCUUUUAGGAAUGUUGGUGGUGGCGUCGAGGUGAAGCUUCGGUUGAGGCGGCCUUGCAAGGAAUGGGAUUUCUUCCCAUUCGAGUAGGUUCUUGAUAAAAUUUUCCAUGAGCUCACAUCGUGCAUGGGCCACAAAAUGCCUCGUUCUAUAAGCUCUAGGAUGAGUUACGCAAGAAACUCAUAUAUUGCAUAGCUUGUCAACAUUAUUAUCUCUAGAAGGGUUCUUGGAGAUAGUUUCUAAAAACAAGAUUCAUCUGGCUGUCAAAAUGCAAAUUAUGACAAAGUUCGUGGAGAUGAACCCUGAAGAUUACAUCAAUUUUCUUUCAAUUCUAGGACCUCAGGCUCCUCCUUGGCUUAUACUAAUCAAAGGUAAGAUAUUGUUGGGCAAGCUUUUGGAAGUGGAGUGAGGAUGCCUCCAUUAAGACCUUCUGAUUCUUCAAAGGAUAUUCUUAAUUAUAUUGUACUGUCUUUUAUUAUAUUUCUUUGAUUGUUAGUUAUUCAAAGUUUUUUGUAAAACAUUUGGAGUUGAUUUAUAAAGAUUUGUGAGCUUUGUAAAAUGAUUAUUAGAUGAAUAAGUGUUGUAUGAAUUGUGAUUA